rnacentral:lncRNA from 1 species
GCUAAAGGCUCCAAUGGCAAGAAAACACACUCCCGAUGAACGAUGGAGGAAGGUGGUGGUCUCAUUGGUAGUGGAUGGCUAUUCUUUAGUUGACAAUUGCUCCCUCACAAAUUUACCAAACUCAAAAAUAAUUGUACAAAAAGAAGGAAUUUGAUACAUUUCAGAAAACCCUAGAAUUCGUUUCUCAUUCUAGGGUUUUCAAUUGAUGAUUCUGAUUGUUUUCACCGAUCGAUUCUACAAAACUGGUGAGAUCUUCGAUAAGGGCUAUGGGGAGAACAGUGGUGAAAGGCGAACCAGAGUAGUGUUAGUAAUAGCAGAACAAAGAACGCAAC